CCUACGGGUGGCAGCAGUGGGGAAUCUUAGACAAUGGGGGCAACCCUGAUCUAGCCAUGCCGCGUGAGUGAUGAAGGCCUUAGGGUUGUAAAGCUCUUUCAGCUGGGAAGAUAAUGACGGUACCAGCAGAAGAAGCCCCGGCUAACUCCGUGCCAGCAGCCGCGGUAAUACGGAGGGGGCUAGCGUUGUUCGGAAUUACUGGGCGUAAAGCGCACGUAGGCGGACCAGAAAGUUGGGGGUGAAAUCCCGGGGCUCAACCCCGGAACUGCCUUCAAAACUAUUGGUCUGGAGUUCGAGAGAGGUGAGUGGAAUUCCGAGUGUAGAGGUGAAAUUCGUAGAUAUUCGGAGGAACACCAGUGGCGAAGGCGGCUCACUGGCUCGAUACUGACGCUGAGGUGCGAAAGCGUGGGG
rnacentral:rRNA from 1 species